GCGCGGCUCGAGACGAAUGGAGGCGGCGCGGAGGCCGCGGUUGGGGCUGCGCCGCCGGAGGCCGUCCUCGGGGGGCGGUGGCCGCGCGGGGCCCCUCCCGGAGGACGGAGGCGAGUGCGCGCGGCCGUGGGCGGAGCUGCUGCGCGCUGCGAGAGCGGAUCUGAACCCCGACGGAGAGCUGCCGCCGCUGCCCGCCUUCCCCGACCCGGAAUCUGGACGCGGUCCCGAGCGUGCCGCGUCCCCCGAGGUGUUCACCGUGGGACCCCACACCUUUUCCUGGACGCCCUUCCCGCCGGCCCCGAGCGGAGGCGGGGGCUCAGGCCGUUGCUACAAGCUGCUCCUUGGGGCCGGGGGGCGCCCGGGGUCCCCCGCCCGGUCCCCGCAGCGAUGUCUGGGGCCUGAGCCCCGCGGGACCCCCGGCGCCCGGGAGCGACGGUGGGAGGCGGCGCCGACCCUGCGGACCUGCCCCAUGUGCCAGACCGACUUCGCCCCCGGUAAGGGGAGUGGCUCCAAUUUUGUUAAGAUAUUAAUCUCCAGACGCCCAGCUCGUGGGCCGUGUGUCACACAGCUCAGGACACAGACGUGGGGGUCACAGGGGUCAGGAUUAUCAAAAGGAUCCCGGUCAAGUGAAGUGAAUGGACAGCAGGUUCAGUAAGCGGACCAGCGCCGGACCUCGCGUGGCUGGGAGAACGGUGUCCUUAAGUCGCGGGUCACGUCCCUGGUCCCCGGAAGCAAAAACAGCCCAGGACGGUGAAGACAAUGGAGCCGCUGACGACAGAGCAAACACCAGCAAACCUUGUCAGAAUAGGCAGCGCGGAGCCCGCACGGGAAGGCCUUUAGACCCGACCUUCUAAUCAGAGAGACGACGUCCCGUCUGUGCUCAGCUGUCUGGGCUUCUCCAGGCUGCGCUUUGUAUCACAACAAGGCUUUGAGAGCCUGGUGUUGGGGGUGGGCCCGGCACCCCUGUGCUCAUCGCCUCGCGGAGCCCACAGGUCGGGCGAGGCAGUGGGUGAGGCCCCGGCAGGGGAAGCCACCUGCCAGGCAUGGAGAAGGGAGCCCGGUGGCCCACGGGAGGUUCCCUGGCUGUCGUGUGAGCGCCAGGUCUGCAAAGUGUCUGCAGACCCAGCCUUUCGCCGUCCUGCCUGCCUCUUGCCAGAACCGGUGUUUGGGGCUGGCUUGCCCGUUCUGACAAAGCAGUGAGCACCUUUAAACCGGGGGUGCUCCUGAUUUCCUGACUCAUCCCCAUCCACAGAAACCCAGGGGCCGGAGGUACCAUCGGGAGCCCCGGAGGGAAAUGGUUUUCUGGAGAGCUGAUGCGGUCGGGGUGCCCCAACUGUCCUCCUGUUCUAGGGGGUCCUUUUUGUCCUUGGCGUGCUGGCAUUUGUGCACAGUCUAAAAAACAGACUUCCAGCGACGGAGACGUUACAGAAAAGUUCCAGUUUCGGGUUUUGUAAGCAGUCGAAGGAAGACUUGGGAGCGCGCCUCAUUUUUCCCAAAGUAGGUGUCGGCGUGUUUGGGCUCACGUCUCCGCGCAUCGGAAACGCUGUGGCACGUUCUUCCGCUUGACGAGGGAGAGGGUCCGUGGGCCAGAGCACACCCCUCAGGUUGUGGCUGUGACUGGGGACAACAGACAUCCCGUGUCACUGGAAGCGAAGGCUCACGUCCUUUGUGGGAUGUUCGGGGCAAGGAGACAGACUGGGCCUUGGGAGUGCCCAGGUUAGCAGGUGGACACGGUAAUCGAACUGUCAAAUUGUCUUCUGACGUUUCUAGAAAAGCGUGGGCUUUUAGUAAUUCUUGGGAAUUUUUUAAAUGUUAAUUUUUUAAAAGUAAACGCUACACCCAACGUGGGGCUCGAACUCAUGAUCCCCGACGCCAAGAGUCACACACUCUUUUGGCCCAACCAGCCAGGCGCCCCACUUGGGAACUUCUCUCCCGGAAACCAAAGUCACGCAUUGCUCUCCGUGUUCAUCCCCGGGGGGGGGGGGACAGACGCCCGUAGCGAUUCUGGCGGAGUAUGUGCCUCGGGGAGACGGCGCCUGAGGACAAACUCGCCGAUCUUCUCAAAGCCUUAGCGUUUUCCAGGUCACUCGGGGCACUGCUUUGUUCUUCAGUGUGACAGACGACCAGGUACUGGGCUCGCCAGACCGGGUGUGAGCCCCGUGCCCUGAAGAUGUGCCUGUUGGCACGCCCGGUGCCCCAUGUACUUUCUGAUGCCCGUGAGUCUCACACACACACACACACACACGGUUGGGAAAACAGGCUCCCAUGGGCCAGCUGACAUGAAGACGUGGAAACCGGAAGCUGAGCGGUGUCCCCUGUGCUCCACGAGAGCCUGGCUUGUUGGCGUCUUGCGGCUCCGAGGCCCCUCGAGCUGCCAGACACAGAGCCCGCUCUGUUUGAGUCGGAAGCCGGCGGAGGAUCUUGGGCUGAGUCUCCUCUCGUGCGGCCAGGCCGGCUGUCCACACACUGGAUUCCCGUGUGACAGCGAGGCAGGCCUGUCUUGGGACAAGCUGCUGCAGGGAGUCUGUAGAGCAGGUCUGGCCGAGACAAAGCUCUUUUACCAGGGGGAGGUCCGAAGGGGCCCGAGGGUACCUCCCGGACACCCCAGACAAGGUGGCCUGGAGCAGACCUUAGAAUAUUCUGGCAGCCUCGGAGAGAGCCCGCAGGAGCCCCAGGGACUUCAGAGCACACCGAGCCGCCUACAGGGUCUGAGAGGGCGGCCGCCGGCCACCAGAACGGGCAUGGGCUCCCAGAGCCACAGGGUGAGGGCGGUGCUGUGGCCCUCAGGGCCUCGCGGUGAUGCCCCGGGGAAGGGCCUUUCCCCUCUGGCCGGUGAACUUGGCCAGCUGACCAGGAUGGCCCUAGAUGUGGGCAGGGGAAAGGUCCCAUCUUGGGAGGUCUCGGAGUAGAGAAGCCAUCUGGGCAAAUCCCCUCGGAGGCCAUGUCCCUCAGGCGUCUCCAGAGGUCCCGACGGGACUCAGGACGCAUGAGGCGGCCGUUCUGUCAGCCACUGGUGGAGACCUGGGGAGCCCCGGUGGGGAGCGCUGUUGGGGCAAGACCCGUGUCUUCUACUCUGUAAGGUGCAGGUGGGGCCUCAGCCGCCGUGACACAUGCCUGGGCUGGGGCAGAGGUUGUGGGUGACAUCCGAGUCCCAACGUGAAAGGGGUCGUCAUCCAGGCUGCCGAACCCAGGGAGACGGAGGAGGCUGGGCCCGUCCGGAGCAUGAGCAGGGCUGGACGAGGGGGGCCGAUAGCAGGGGGCCCAGGGGCUGUGGGCCGGCCAGCCACCGGGUAAGGUAGACCCCACGCUGCAGUGGACACGGGAGCUAUGCUGCUUGCAGUCGGGGGGCUCAGCCCUCUGGGGGUGUGGGCACGAGGAAGGAAGACCUCACGUCCUCGUGCCCACAGGCUUCACGUCACGUGCCCGGGAGGCCUGACGGAGGAGCUGCUGCCCCGUUCUUGCACCGCUGAUGGUCUCUGCCGAUCCCCUUUCCUGGGGACGGCCUUUUAGGCUCCAGCGCCAGCAGUUGGCUGGGAGCCGUGGGGUUCUCAAGCCGAGUCGGGGCCAGAAUCCCCUGGGGAGUUCGUUCAGACACAGGGUGCCCCCGCCCCCCCAGCCUCAGAGGCAGGAGUCUGCGUGAGCCUCGAGAACGUGUCUGACGGACACGUGGCAGGCUGGCCCAGCUGGACAUCGACAACCACCUCGCUCAGUGCCUGGAGGAGAGUGCAGAGGACGUGGUGUGGUGACUGACCUGCGGGA